rnacentral:rRNA from 1 species
GGACUACCGGGGUAUCUAAUCCUGUUUGCUCCCCAUGCUUUCGCGCCUCAGUGUCAGAAGCAGUCCAGAAAGCCGCCUUCGCAACUGGUGUUCCCCACGAUAUCUACGCAUUUCACCGCUACACCGUGAGUUCCGCUUUCCUCUCCUGUUCUCCAGUGUUCCAGUUUCAAGUGCGGUCCUCAGUUGAGCUGAGGAAUUUAACACCUGACUUAGAACACCACCUACGCGCCCUUUAUGCCCAGUAAAUCCGGACAACGCUUGCCCCCUACGUAUUACCGCGGCGGCUGGCAC